rnacentral:rRNA from 1 species
GACGAACUGUGCAAACGUUAUUCGGAAUCACUGGGCUUGAAGAGUGCGUAGGCGGUUUCGUAAGUAGGGUGUGAAAGCCCCCAGCUCAACUGGGGAACUGCGUCCUAAACUGCGAGGCUGGAGUGAGGUAGGGGUGUGUGGAACUUCCGGUGGAGCGGUGAAAUGUGUUGAUAUCGGAAGGAACGCCGGUGGCGAAAGCGACACACUGGGCCUUGUCUGACGCUGAGUCACGAAAGCCAGGGGAGCAAAC